CCUACGGGAGGCAGCAGUGAGGAAUAUUGGUCAAUGGCCGGAAGGCUGAACCAGCCAAGCCGCGUGAAGGACGAAGGUGCCAAGCAUUGUAAACUUCUUUUGUCAAGGGACAAAAUCAGGCUCGAGAGCCUGACCGAGGGUACUUUAAGAAAAAGCAUCGGCUAACUCCGUGCCAGCAGCCGCGGUAAUACGGAGGAUUCGAGCGUUAUCCGGAUUUAUUGGGUUUAAAGGGUGCGUAGGCGGGCUGUUAAGGCGGCGGUAAAAGCCCGGGGCUCAACCCCGGCGAGCCGUUGAAACUGGCGGUCUUGAGAGGUCGAGAGGCAGGCGGAAGGCGCAGUGUAGCGGUGAAAUGCUUAGAUAUUGCGCAGAACUCCGAUUGCGAAGGCAGCAUACCGGAGGCGAUCUGACGCUGAGGCACGAAAGCGUGGUUAUCGAACAGGAUUAGAUACCCUUGUAGUC
rnacentral:rRNA from 1 species